UACGAAGGGUGCAAGCGUUACUCGGAAUUACUGGGCGUAAAGCGUGCGUAGGCGGUUUGUUAAGUCCGCUGUGAAAGCCCUGGGCUCAACCUGGGAAUUGCAGUGGAUACUGGCAAGCUAGAGUGCGGUAGAGGAUGGUGGAAUUCCCGGUGUAGCGGUGAAAUGCGUAGAUAUCAGGAGGAACACCAAUAGCGAAGGCAGCUCGCUGGGACGGUACUGACGCUGAGGCGCGAAAGCGUGGGGAGCGAACAGG
rnacentral:rRNA from 1 species